rnacentral:rRNA from 1 species
UACGAAGGGUGCAAACGUUGCUCGGAAUUAUUGGGCGUAAAGCGCACGUAGGCGGCUUUGCAAGUCGGAUGUGAAAUCCCUCGGCUUAACCAAGGAAGUGCAUCCGAAACUGCAGAGCUUGAGUAUUUAAGAGGAUCGCGGAAUUCCCGGUGUAGAGGUGAAAUUCGUAGAUAUCGGGAGGAACACCAGUGGCGAAGGCGGCGAUCUGGGAAGAUACUGACGCUGAGGUGCGAAAGCGUGGGGAGCAAACAGG